UGCAAGUCGAACGCUGAAGCCUGGUGCUUGCACCGGGUGGAUGAGUGGCGAACGGGUGAGUAACACGUGAGUAACCUGCCCCUGACUUCGGGAUAAGCCCGGGAAACUGGGUCUAAUACCGGAUACGACUGCCGGACGCAUGUCUGGUGGUGGAAAGUUUUUUCGGUUGGGGAUGGGCUCGCGGCCUAUCAGUUUGUUGGUGAGGUAAUGGCUCACCAAGACGACGACGGGUAGCCGGCCUGAGAGGGCGACCGGCCACACUGGGACUGAGACACGGCCCAGACUCCUACGGGAGGCAGCAGUGGGGAAUAUUGCACAAUGGGGGAAACCCUGAUGCAGCGACGCAGCGUGCGGGAUGACGGCCUUCGGGUUGUAAACCGCUUUCAGCAGGGAAGAAGCGCAAGUGACGGUACCUGCAGAAGAAGUACCGGCUAACUACGUGCCAGCAGCCGCGGUAAUACGUAGGGUACGAGCGUUGUCCGGAAUUAUUGGGCGUAAAGAGCUCGUAGGUGGUUGGUCACGUCUGCUGUGGAAACGCAACGCUUAACGUUGCGCGUGCAGUGGGUACGGGCUGACUAGAGUGCAGUAGGGGAGUCUGGAAUUCCUGGUGUAGCGGUGAAAUGCGCAGAUAUCAGGAGGAACACCGGUGGCGAAGGCGGGACUCUGGGCUGUAACUGACACUGAGGAGCGAAAGCAUGGGGAGCGAACAGGAUUAGAUACCCUGGUAGUCCAUGCCGUAAACGUUGGGCACUAGGUGUGGGGGGCAUUCCACGUUCUCCGCGCCGUAGCUAACGCAUUAAGUGCCCCGCCUGGGGAGUACGGUCGCAAGGCUAAAACUCAAAGGAAUUGACGGGGGCCCGCACAAGCGGCGGAGCAUGCGGAUUAAUUCGAUGCAACGCGAAGAACCUUACCAAGGCUUGACAUACACCGGACCGUCCUGGAAACAGGUCUUCUUCUUUGAAGCUGGUGUACAGGUGGUGCAUGGUUGUCGUCAGCUCGUGUCGUGAGAUGUUGGGUUAAGUCCCGCAACGAGCGCAACCCUCGUUCUAUGUUGCCAGCAUGUGAUGGUGGGAACUCAUAGGAGACUGCCGGGGUCAACUCGGAGGAAGGUGGGGAUGACGUCAAAUCAUCAUGCCCUUUAUGUCUUGGGCUUCACGCAUGCUACAAUGGCUGGUACAGAGAGAGGCGAACCCGUGAGGGCAAGCGAAUCCCUUAAAGCCAGUCUCAGUUCGGAUCGUAGUCUGCAAUUCGACUACGUGAAGUCGGAGUCGCUAGUAAUCGCAGAUCAGCAACGCUGCAGUGAAUACGUUCCCGGACCUUGUACA
rnacentral:rRNA from 1 species